UUAAGUGACUAAGCGUACACGGUGGAUGCCUAGGCAGUCAGAGGCGAUGAAGGGCGUGCUAAUCUGCGAAAAGCGUCGGUAAGGUGAUAUGAACCGUUACAACCGGCGAUACCCGAAUGGGGAAACCCAGUGUGUUUCGACACACUAUCAUGUCAUGAAUACAUAGUGGCAUGAGGCGAACCGGGGGAACUGAAACAUCUAAGUACCCCGAGGAAAAGAAAUCAACCGAGAUUCCCCCAGUAGCGGCGAGCGAACGGGGAGGAGCCCAGAACCUGAAUCGGCUUGUGUGUUAGUGGAAGCGUCUGGAAAGUCGCGCAGCAAAGGGUGAUAGCCCCGUACACUAAAAUGCACAGGUCGUGAGUUCGAUGAGUAGGGCGGGACACGUGACAUCCUGUCUGAAUAUGGGGGGACCAUCCUCCAAGGCUAAAUACUCCUGACUGACCGAUAGUGAACCAGUACCGUGAGGGAAAGGCGAAAAGAACCCCGGCGAGGGGAGUGAAAUAGAACCUGAAACCGUGUACGUACAAGCAGUGGGAGCACCUUCGUGGUGUGACUGCGUACCUUUUGUAUAAUGGGUCAGCGACUUAUAUUUUGUAGCAAGGUUAACCGUAUAGGGGAGCCGUAGGGAAACCGAGUCUUAACUGGGCGAAUAGUUGCAAGGUAUAGACCCGAAACCCGGUGAUCUAGCCAUGGGCAGGUUGAAGGUUGGGUAACACUAACUGGAGGACCGAACCGACUAAUGUUGAAAAAUUAGCGGAUGACUUGUGGCUGGGGGUGAAAGGCCAAUCAAACCGGGAGAUAGCUGGUUCUCCCCGAAAGCUAUUUAGGUAGCGCCUCGUGAACUCAUCUUCGGGGGUAGAGCACUGUUUCGGCUAGGGGGCCAUCCCGGCUUACCAAACCGAUGCAAACUCCGAAUACCGAAGAAUGUUAUCACGGGAGACACACGGCGGGUGCUAACGUCCGUCGUGAAGAGGGAAACAACCCAGACCGCCAGCUAAGGUCCCAAAGUCAUGGUUAAGUGGGAAACGAUGUGGGAAGGCAUAGACAGCCAGGAUGUUGGCUUAGAAGCAGCCAUCAUUUAAAGAAAGCGUAAUAGCUCACUGGUCGAGUCGGCCUGCGCGGAAGAUGUAACGGGGCUAAACCAUGCACCGAAGCUGCGGCAGCGACGCUUAGGCGUUGUUGGGUAGGGGAGCGUUCUGUAAGCCGUUGAAGGUGGCCUGUGAGGGUUGCUGGAGGUAUCAGAAGUGCGAAUGCUGACAUAAGUAACGAUAAAGCGGGUGAAAAGCCCGCUCGCCGGAAGACCAAGGGUUCCUGUCCAACGUUAAUCGGGGCAGGGUGAGUCGACCCCUAAGGCGAGGCUGAAAAGCGUAGUCGAUGGGAAACAGGUUAAUAUUCCUGUACUUGGUGUUACUGCGAAGGGGGGACGGAGAAGGCUAGGCUAGCCGGGCGACGGUUGUCCCGGUUUAAGCGUGUAGGGGGUGUGACCUGGUAAAUCCGGUUGCAUAUCAACCCUGAGGCGUGAUGACGAUGCACUACGGUGCAGAAGUAGUUGAUGCCCUGCUUCCAGGAAAAUCCUCUAAGCUCCAGGUAACAUUAAAUCGUACCCCAAACCGACACAGGUGGUCAGGUAGAGAAUACCAAGGCGCUUGAGAGAACUCGGGUGAAGGAACUAGGCAAAAUGGUGCCGUAACUUCGGGAGAAGGCACGCUGGCAUGUAGGUGAAGUCCCUUGCGGAUGGAGCUGAAGCCAGUCGAAGAUACCAGCUGGCUGCAACUGUUUAAUAAAAACACAGCACUGUGCAAACACGAAAGUGGACGUAUACGGUGUGACGCCUGCCCGGUGCUGGAAGGUUAAUUGAUGGGGUCAGCCGCAAGGCGAAGCUCUUGAUCGAAGCCCCAGUAAACGGCGGCCGUAACUAUAACGGUCCUAAGGUAGCGAAAUUCCUUGUCGGGUAAGUUCCGACCUGCACGAAUGGCGUAAUGAUGGCCAGGCUGUCUCCACCCGAGACUCAGUGAAAUUGAACUCGCUGUGAAGAUGCAGUGUACCCGCGGCAAGACGGAAAGACCCCGUGAACCUUUACUAUAGCUUGACACUGAACAUUGAGCCUUGAUGUGUAGGAUAGGUGGGAGGCUUUGAAGCGUGGACGCCAGUCUGCGUGGAGCCAUCCUUGAAAUACCACCCUUUAAUGUUUGAUGUUCUAACUCGGCCCCGUGAUCCGGGGUGAGGACAGUGUCUGGUGGGUAGUUUGACUGGGGCGGUCUCCUCCCAAAGAGUAACGGAGGAGCACGAAGGUUAGCUAAUCACGGUCGGACAUCGUGAGGUUAGUGCAAAGGCAUAAGCUAGCUUGACUGCGAGAGUGACGGCUCGAGCAGGUACGAAAGUAGGUCUUAGUGAUCCGGUGGUUCUGAAUGGAAGGGCCAUCGCUCAACGGAUAAAAGGUACUCCGGGGAUAACAGGCUGAUACCGCCCAAGAGUUCAUAUCGACGGCGGUGUUUGGCACCUCGAUGUCGGCUCAUCACAUCCUGGGGCUGAAGUAGGUCCCAAGGGUAUGGCUGUUCGCCAUUUAAAGUGGUACGCGAGCUGGGUUUAGAACGUCGUGAGACAGUUCGGUCCCUAUCUGCCGUGGGCGUUGGAAGAUUGAGAGGGGUUGCUCCUAGUACGAGAGGACCGGAGUGAACGCACCACUGGUGUUCGGGUUGUCAUGCCAAUGGCAUUGCCCGGUAGCUAAGUGCGGAAAAGAUAAGCGCUGAAAGCAUCUAAGCGCGAAACUUGCCUCAAGAUGAGUCUUCCCUGGGCCUUUAAGGCCCCUGAAGGAACGUUUAAGACUAAGACGUUGAUAGGCUGGGUGUGUAAGUGCAGCGAUGCAUUGAGCUAACCAGUACUAAUGAUCCGUGAGGCUUAACCU
rnacentral:rRNA from 1 species